rnacentral:rRNA from 1 species
UACAGAGGUCUCAAGCGUUGUUCGGAUUCAUUGGGCGUAAAGGGUGCGUAGGCGGCGCGGUAAGUCGGGUGUGAAAUCUUGGGCUUAACUCCGAAACUGCAUUCGAUACUGCCGUGCUUGAGGACUGGAGAGGAGACUGGAAUUUACGGUGUAGCGGUGAAAUGCGUAGAUAUCGUAAGGAAGACCAGUGGCGAAGGCGGGUCUCUGGACAGUUCCUGACGCUGAGGCACGAAGGUCAGGGGGAGCAAACGGG